UACGGAGGAUCCGAGCGUUAUCCGGAUUUAUUGGGUUUAAAGGGUGCGCAGGCGGUUAUGUUAGUCUGCUGUGAAAAGCAUCGGCUUAACCGGUGUCUUGCGGCGGAUACUGCAUAGCUUGAGUGCAGGAGAGGUAAGUGGAAUUCCUAGUGUAGCGGUGAAAUGCGUAGAUAUUAGGAGGAACACCAGCGGCGAAGGCGACUUACUGGACUGUAACUGACGCUGAGUCACGAAAGCGUGGGUAGCAAACAGGAUUAGAUACCCCU
rnacentral:rRNA from 1 species